rnacentral:lncRNA from 1 species
GGAUAUUUUUUUGGUCGAAUUAUCCUGUUAAAAGUUUAAACAAAUGUUGAUAUGUAAUUAAUGCAGUUUGAUGAAUGGAUCUUUUAAACCAAAGCCAUGGUAAGGUUUUAAAAUGUAUACUUUCUUACGAGACGUACCAAAUUUCUACAAAAAGAUUUAGUCAUCAUCAUGGAUUAUAAAAAAUGGACUCGCUUAAAUUUGUCAUACAUUCUAAGUCAAAGAAAGGCGGAUACGUCGAAGACAAACUUAAAAUACAAAACAAAAACAAAAACAAAAAACAAAAAUCACAAGAAAGCACAGAAAACCUUAGACUGAGUAACAAGAACCCCAGCAAUAACCGAUGAUCUGCUAUAAAGGGGUAAGCAGAUCCUGCUUCACAUGGAUCACCCAUCGUGUUUAUAAAAUAAGUAACUGAAACUUCGAGGAUGAAUUUAAUUCAGUGAUAUUGCAUUCGAGAUGGUGGUAAAUUCUAUGUAAACACCUGUUAUAAUAAAACCCACGUUGGUACCGAUAAAGAAUGUUCCACGAACUAACCACAACGCAUAAUUGAAAACUGUUACGAACAAUAUAUAUCAUGAUGGGUCGUUUCUAAACGUGUAAGCUCUAUAUACAACGUCACUACGUCUCGUAAAACUAAAAUGACAUAUUUGUUACAAUAUUUCUUAUGGUUGAGCCCAACCUUCAAAAUCAAAUAUUUGUGGUAAGUCGCCGGGAAGCCGCUAACGUAUAUUUUUUUCUUGUUUUACACAGGCUACUUUUAUGAAAUGUAAAACAUCAGAGAAGCAUUUAUUAAUCUGACACAUAUUGAAAAAAAUAUCUUUAAUUCACUUUUAUUUUUUCAGUUAACACUACACAAAUCAACAAAGGAUGUAUAUAUCUGCAGUUUAAUUUGACUGUGAAUGAUUCAAACUUUUACGCAUGUGAAAACACGACAGCACCAUACAAUGUUGAUGAUGGCGCAUAUGACGGAAGAUUCUUGUACAUUAUUGUAGUGUUGUGUUUCUAUGGUCUUAGCAUGGUGCUGUUGAUGGUUAAAUAUGUUCGUCGAGAGGAAGAGGAAGUGUCUUUAGAUUUUUAUUACACGGAAUACGUGAAAAGAGAACAGUUCAAUUGUGCACGUUACCAGAACAAACUAUUGUUGGAAAAAACGAAAAAGAAUGCGGUAGUCUUUAAAAUUUUGACAGAAAAUAAGAAAAAUAACACAUAGGAAAUUUCAUUUAGAGACUUAACAAUUUUUACAACGUUGAAAAAAUCAAAACUAUGCAGUAAAAAAGGCGUAAGGCGAAACUUGUUCAAUCAUUGAUCACAC